GUAGUCUCGCACAGAUGCAUAUCAAUAAGCGGAGGAAAAGAAACUAACAAGGAUUCCCCUAGUAACGGCGAGCGAAGCGGGAAGAGCUCAAAUUUGAAAUCUUAAAGGGUUUCCCUUUACGAAUUGUAGUUUAAAGAAGUGUUUUCUGUUGAGGUUUUGGUAAAAGUUCUUUGGAAUAGGACAUCAUAGAGGGUGAGAAUCCCGUAUUUGACCUUUACUUUCAACUUUGUGAUACACUUUCAAAGAGUCGGAUUGUUUGGGAAUGCAGUCCAAAAUGGGUGGUAAAUUUCAUCUAAAGCUAAAUAUUGGCGAGAGACCGAUAGCGAACAAGUACCGUGAGGGAAAGAUGAAAAGAACUCUGAAAAGAGAGUUAAACAGUACGUGAAAUUGUCAAAAGGGAAGCGUUUGACACCAGUGUUGUUUUUCUGAAAAUCAAUUAAAGAACUGUUUAUGCUAAGCUGUUUAGACUUUAUCAGCUAACUGUUUAGUUUUGAGCUUUUCUUUAAUGCACUUUUCAGUUAACAAGUCAACAUCAAUUUCUUUUGCUGUAAAAAAGCUUGAGGAAGGUGGCUUGAGAUUCGUCUUAAGUGUUUAUAGCCUCUUGCCUAUGCAGUCGGAGAGAUUGAGGUCUGCAGCGUAGAUCCUUCGGGGCUAAAUGCAUUUGUGCUAAGUUAUAGCAUUUUAUAGACAACUUGUUGACUAUGAUUUGUCUUGUAGCUUACUCGCUUAUGUUAUUUUACCUACGCUUAGGAUGUUGAAGACUCUACAGAGAUA
rnacentral:rRNA from 1 species